GUGCUCUCUUCAACAGCAUAGAUACUAAAAUUGGAAUAAUUUUAGAGAGAUAAGUAUGGCCCCUGGGCAAAUUUAUGAAGCAUUCCAUUUUUUC
rnacentral:snRNA from 1 species